rnacentral:misc_RNA from 1 species
UUUCCGUAGGUGAACCUGCGGAAGGAUCAUUAUCGUACAAAAUGUGAGGGGCAUGCGAGGGCUGUCGCUGACCCAAAAGUCGUGCACGCCCGAGUGUGUCCUCUUGCAUAAUAAUCCAUCUCACCCCUAUGUGCACCACCGCGUGGGUCCCCCUUUGGCUUGUUCGGAGGGGGGCUUACGUUUUCACACAAACUUUGUAUGCAGUGUAGAAUGUAUUUUUUGUUUUUGCGAUCACGCAAUCAAUACAACUUUCAACAACGGAUCUCUUGGCUCUC